rnacentral:rRNA from 1 species
UACGUAGGGUGCAAGCGUUAAUCGGAAUUACUGGGCGUAAAGCGUGCGCAGGCGGUUUUGUAAGUUUGUCGUGAAAUCCCCGGGCUCAACCUGGGAAUGGCGAUGAAGACUGCAAGGCUAGAAUCUGGCAGAGGGGGGUAGAAUUCCACGUGUGAGCAGUGAAAUGCGUAGAGAUGUGGAGGAACACCGAUGGGCGAAGGCAGCCCCCUGGGUC